AGAGUUUGAUCAUGGCUCCGGACGAACGCUGGCGGCGUGCCUAACACAUGCAAGUCGAGCGGAGACAGUGAGUAGCUUGCUAUGAGCUGUUUUAGCGGCGGACGGGUGAGUAACGCGUGAGCAACCUUUCCCAGACAGGGGAAUAACACACCGAAAGGUGUACUAAUACCGCAUAAGACUACGGGAUCACAUGGUUCUGGGGUAAAAGAUUUAUCGGUUUGGGGUGGGCUCGCGUCCGAUUAGGUAGUUGGUGAGGUAACCGG
rnacentral:rRNA from 1 species